UCAGACAUUUACCAAAACAGCAAUAUUUCGAAUAGCUGCGGAGAUAUUUAGAUGAUAACGGUGUCUUCUGCUUUCUAAACCAGUCUUUUUAUUAACCAUUGCUGAAUAUUUCAGUUUUCUGUUCUCACUUGUCAACAAAGGGCUGCUGCACACCCAUUACACUGCUCUGUCAGUAACACACUCCUGGUUAAUCUCCUUUUAUAUGCUCUCCACCCAGGUUCCCCCUCUUACUCCAGAGUCACCAUGGACAGUUCAGCCACACUGUGCAUGCAGAGGCUCUUUGCAUUGUGGACUGGCUGGGACACAGCUGGCUUGUGCAGACUCAGAAAACAAUCACUUGUAACUUACUGACCGUGGAGAAACCAAGAGAACUGAAUGUCCGCAUUUGUCCAGAGUAUGAUGUCAAGCAUCUGGUCUUUAGUCCCCUCCUGCCUUUGGAUUUAGCCACUUUUGCACUAGCACCACUACUUAGGAUGCCUAAAAUCCAAACUUAGCUUCUGCUAAUUUUCUGUAAGUUCCUGACCUGUGUAUGGAUCCCACAUAUGCUUCUCCUUUCCAGAUGGUGCAUCUUCCACCCCUUCACUCAUCCUCAGAAUCGAGUUCAUCCUUGUCCUCCUUAAUUUUGGCCUCCUUCUCCCAUCUCAUUGGCUGUGGGUCUUAUCUGUGUGAUUGGUGCAAAGGGGCCAGGGAGAGUCGCUGCACACAGGAAACGCUGCAUAGGAACCUGCCCCCAUCACAGCCUCGGUACCAGUGUCUGCAGCGGAGAGGUGCGGCCCAUA